rnacentral:rRNA from 1 species
AUGGGGCUCGCUAUGCUGCUGGCGGACAGCCGCGGCCCUGCUGGUGUGGUGCGAGACUUCCAGAUCACCCGACGGCUGGGGUUGGAGGAUGGCAUUCCCACAACUCCUCAUCGGGGACUACCUCUGCCUGAAGAUUUGAGGUGUGACUCAAAUUUCGUGCUGUUAGAAAUCAACAAUGGAGAUUUCAGUUUUUUUUCAUGGAAAGUGUGA